GAUGAACGCUGGCGGCGUGCUUAACACAUGCAAGUCGAACGGUGAAGGCGGAGCUUGCUCUGCUGGAUCAGUGGCGAACGGGUGAGUAACACGUGAGCAAUCUGCCCCUGACUCUGGGAUAAGCGCUGGAAACGGCGUCUAAUACUGGAUACGAGCUGCGAAGGCAUCUUCAGCAGCUGGAAAGAAUUUCGGUCAGGGAUGAGCUCGCGGCCUAUCAGCUUGUUGGUGAGGUAAUGGCUCACCAAGGCGUCGACGGGUAGCCGGCCUGAGAGGGUGACCGGCCACACUGGGACUGAGACACGGCCCAGACUCCUACGGGAGGCAGCAGUGGGGAAUAUUGCACAAUGGGCGAAAGCCUGAUGCAGCAACGCCGCGUGAGGGACGACGGCCUUCGGGUUGUAAACCUCUUUUAGCAGGGAAGAAGCGAAAGUGACGGUACCCGCAGAAAAAGCGCCGGCUAACUACGUG
rnacentral:rRNA from 1 species